GAUGAACGCUGGCGGCGUGCUUAACACAUGCAAGUCGAACGAAGCACCUUGAUUUGAUUCUUCGGAUGAAGAUCCUGGUGACUGAGUGGCGGACGGGUGAGUAACGCGUGGGUAACCUGCCUCAUACAGGGGGAUAACAGUUAGAAAUGACUGCUAAUACCGCAUAAGACCACAGCACCGCAUGGUGCAGGGGUAAAAACUCCGGUGGUAUGAGAUGGACCCGCGUCUGAUUAGGUAGUUGGUGGGGUAACGGCCUACCAAGCCGACGAUCAGUAGCCGACCUGAGAGGGUGACCGGCCACAUUGGGACUGAGACACGGCCCAAACUCCUACGGGAGGCAGCAGUGGGGAAUAUUGCACAAUGGGGGAAACCCUGAUGCAGCGACGCCGCGUGAGCGAUGAAGUAUUUCGGUAUGUAAAGCUCUAUCAGCAGGGAAGAAAAUGACGGUACCUGACUAAGAAGCACCGGCUAAAUACGUGCCAGCCGCCGCCGUAACAC
rnacentral:rRNA from 1 species